UCCUCGGUAGUAGUGGUCAGAUCCCCGCCUGUCACGCGGGAGCCCGGGUUCGAUUCCCCGCCGGGGAG